rnacentral:tRNA from 1 species
CAUUAAGAAGCUAUGCUACAGCACUAGCCUUUUAAGCUAGAAAAAGAGGGACUCACCCCCCCCUCCUUAAUGA